rnacentral:lncRNA from 1 species
GGAGUCUUGCAUUGUCACCUAGGCUGGAGUGCAGUGGUGCGAUCUCCACUCACUGCAACCUCCGCCUCCCAGCUUCAGGAGAUUCUCCUGCGUCAGCCUCCCAAGCUGCUGGGAUUACAGGGUUGCAGAAAAGGAAGAAGAAUCAGCAGAGAGCAUUUGUGGCCAGCAAAGCUUAAAAUAUUUCCUAACCGAUCCUUUGCAAAAAAAGUUCACCCACUCCUGUAGUCAGCAGCUCCCCUACUGUGCGCAGUCAGUGUGCCAUCUCAGACUAGCAAAGUUGUCCAGAGAGGAAAGACAGGCCAAAAUAGUUCAGUAUGCUGUCUUACUGGGAGGACAACAGCUUAAGCCACAAAGCCCUGAGUUUGACCCUAGAACUCUGUGGCUACUGGUGACUCAUCUUGAAAAUUAUCAGAUUGAAUCUUCUCUACCGGUUUGAUAACAACUGAUGAGUGGAAAAAGAACGCCAAUCAAAUGUGCAUGCUUAAUAAGCAGCCUCCUUAUUCCCCUCUGCAGAUUUGUGCUUGGAUCAUCUACACUUCCCUGAAUGUUGAAGAAGAUAUGCUAUCCAUGCAAUCCUUGUCGACUGCUUGAUUAAAAAGUGGAUAAACUGUCUUCAGGCCCUUGGAGUAUGGUGUCUGUGUGAAGAAGGGAAUGAGGCAGAAGUAGCAGUCAGUGGUGGCUGAAGUAGGAGAAAGUGCUUGCUAAUGAAAUCUUGAUUUUUCUGUGGCUUUUCUGUGCAAUUGGGUGGCUAAGUAGGAAAGCCAUUGGAGCUUCACUGUAUCAAUUCUGCCUUUCUUGUUUUUUGGAACUCCAAUUCACCAAGGCUCCCUGCCACCCUAUCCAUCUAUAACUUUUCAUCACUUUUUCCUCAAAGUAAGAAGUGUGUCCCAGAAAAUGUGCCUUUGUGACUCAGCAACAUUUCAAAUCCAUCUGAGCCUUCCCAGCGUUCCAAAAGAAAUACUGAUUUGAAUUCAGCUGCUUAAAAAACCAGUCUCUAAGCAGACAGCUUGAAACUUCCUUACAGCAAUAGUUUAGGCUUUGGAGGGGAAAUUGGUUUGUUUUUAAUUGUUUUAAUUUUUCAUUCAAUUCAUUUGCCGCCUGAUUAUAUAUGAUCUUUUGAGCCCAAUACUCUGCUAAAUUAACCUUGACUUUCUUUCUCUCUUUCUCUCUCUCUCCUUCUCUCUUUCUUCCUUUCUUUCUUUCUUUUUGACAGAGCCUUGCUCUGUCGCCCAGGCUGGAAUGCAGUGGCACAAUCUCAGCUCACUGUAAACUCCGCCUCCAAAGUUCAAGCAAUUCUCCUGCCUCAGCCUCCUGUGUAGCUGGGAUUACACACGCCAGCCACCAUGCCUGGCUAAUUUUUGUAUUUUUAGUAAAGAUGGAGUUUCACCCUCUUGGCCAAGCUGGUCUCGAACUCCUGACCUCAACCUUGGCCUCUCAAAGUGCUGGGAUUACAAGCAUGAGCCACCAUGCCUGGCCUUACCUUGAUUUUUUUUUUUUGAGACAGAGUCUCACUCUGUUGCUCAGGCUGGAGUGUAGUGGCUCGAUCUUGGCUCACUGCAACCUCCAUCUCCCGGGUUCAAGAGAUUCUCCUGCCUCAGCCUCCCAAGUAGCUGGGACUACAGGUGUGGGCCACCACGCCUAGCUAAUUUUUUAUAUGUUUACUAGAGACAGGGUUUCACCAUGUUGGGCAGGCUGGUCUUGAACUCCUGACCUCAGGUGAUUCACCUGCCUCGGCCUCCCAAAAUGCUGGGAUUACAGGUGUGAGCCACCACACCCGGCCCCUACCUUUGAUUUUUAAGUCAAGAGGGAACAAGUCGAAAUUUCUAUUCAGGUAAACUGUAUACCUUUGGACACUGAAUCACUUUUAGAACCCCAGUAAAAAUCAUGUAUGAAUGACCCACAAUUUCACUCCAACAGGAAGGUGUGUAUAUGUGCACAAAAACAUUAGAUUGUUCACACCGGUGCUAUUCAUAAUAGUCAAAAACUGGAAACAACUCAAACAUCCAUCAACUGUAGAAUGGAUAAAUAAAUCAUGAUAUAUUCAUACCAUGGAACAUAACAGUGACAAUAAAUGAACCACUGCUACACACAACAGAUAUGAAUUUCACAAACAGAAUGCUGAGCAACAGAAGCCAAACACAGAAGGAUACACAUUUAUAAAUCCAUUUGUAUGAAGUUCAUAAACAGACAAAAUUAGUCAGUGGAGAUUAUUCUCAUAGAAGUCUGAAGGGUAGUUGUCUUUAGGGAGGGGGAUAUAGUGACUGAGGUGGGUAUAAGGGGUUUCUGGGGUUUGGUGAUGGUACACCAGCAUAUUCACUCUGAAAACUCAUUGAGCUGUGCAAUAAUGAUUUUUCAAACUUUUAUAUGUGUAUGAUAAUGCUUCAAUAAAGCUUUGCUUAAAAA